rnacentral:lncRNA from 1 species
CUAGUUUUAAGAUGUUAUGAUUCUAUAUCAUCUACAUCUAUAUUCUCUUUGCUAAGUCAUAACUUGGUAACCAGUCAUAUACUUUGGAACAUUCAUCCUCUUAGCUGUUCCCAUCCAGGUAGCCCAACUGGGUGAACCUCAAAUUCCAUUUGUGUGUGCUCUGGAGAAAAACCUCCAUUCUCAUAAUUGCCUGCAUCCUGCCCUUGAGAGAGGAAAACCCUGGACAAAGAGCAGGAAUUCCUACUUCACACCUUGGGGAAUAAUAUUCAGUAACUCCUUACCCAGAGAGGUAGAUCAAGCGGAAACUAUGAACAUCUGGGAAAAAAGGUUCAGAUGAGUUCAUGGCUGCCUAAGCUAAAAUGAGUCAUUCAAGGAAACAAGGCUGGGCAAGCCUGGCCUUUGAAGAGACUGUAAGGGAUUCAGAAUCACUUCAAUCAAAACUUCCAUUAAGUCUUGACAGCUUUGAGUGUGGAAUAUGUUGACAAGAUCAGAGCCAUUAAUAAUGGGCUGGCCCAAGCUCCCAGAUCCAUGAUUCAAAGAUGUUUGUGUGGAUGAAUAAUACACUCUGGGCUCAUCUAAUUUUUCAAGUUUAAUGGUUCAUUGGUCUUCGGUCUGGGAAGAAACAUUCAUCACCGCUAGUUCAGGGAAGAGACAAUACAAUUCCCACUCCCUUGAGUCUCUCCCUGAUCUGCCUGACUGCCUGGAUUGCCUUUUUCUGGAGGAGAGCACAUCUCAUCUAGUUUGUUGUAUCUUCUCCCUAAUGAUCUUCCCACUCUGGAGAUGCCUUCACCCCUGUGUUUCUCCUCUCAGAAUGGCCAGUUCCUUGCUGGGAGCAUCUCAGGAGUCCACCAACUAUCCUCAACAAGUCUUCACAGCUCCCAAAGAAUACUCCUUGAAACAAAUUAGUGAAAUCAACCAAAAUGAGGUCACUUCUAACUCUUAAAUCAUAAGAAAGAGAAGAAAGAUGGAGAAAGGGAAAGAGAAAGGAAAUGAAGAAUAAAGAAGGAGAAAGAGAAGAAAAGGAAGGAAAA